rnacentral:rRNA from 1 species
GGGUUGUGAGGUUAAGCGACUAAGCGUACACGGUGGAUGCCCUGGCAGUCAGAGGCGAUGAAGGGCGUGCUAAUCUGCGAUAAGCGCCGGUAAGGUGAUAUGAACCGUUAUAACCGGCGAUACCCGAAUGGGGAAACCCAGUGUGACUCGUCACACUAUCAUUAACUGAAUCCAUAGGUUAAUGAGGCGAACCGGGGGAACUGAAACAUCUAAGUACCCCGAGGAAAAGAAAUCAACCGAGAUUCCCCCAGUAGCGGCGAGCGAACGGGGAGGAGCCCAGAGCCUGAAUCAGCAUGUGUGUUAGUGGAAGCGUCUGGAAAGGCGCGCGAUACAGGGUGACAGCCCCGUACACAAAAGCGCAUGUGCUGUGAGCUCGAUGAGUAGGGCGGGACACGUGGUAUCCUGUCUGAAUAUGGGGGGACCAUCCUCCAAGGCUAAAUACUCCUGACUGACCGAUAGUGAACCAGUACCGUGAGGGAAAGGCGAAAAGAACCCCGGCGAGGGGAGUGAAAAAGAACCUGAAACCGUGUACGUACAAGCAGUGGGAGCACAGGUUUACCUGUGUGACUGCGUACCUUUUGUAUAAUGGGUCAGCGACUUAUAUUCUGUAGCAAGGUUAACCGCAUAGGGGAGCCGGAGGGAAACCGAGUCUUAAUUGGGCGUUAAGUUGCAGGGUAUAGACCCGAAACCCGGUGAUCUAGCCAUGGGCAGGUUGAAGGUUGGGUAACACUAACUGGAGGACCGAACCGACUAAUGUUGAAAAAUUAGCGGAUGACCUGUGGCUGGGGGUGAAAGGCCAAUCAAACCGGGAGAUAGCUGGUUCUCCCCGAAAGCUAUUUAGGUAGCGCCUCGUGAAUUCAUCUCCGGGGGUAGAGCACUGUUUCGGCUAGGGGGCCAUCCCGGCUUACCAACCCGAUGCAAACUGCGAAUACCGGAGAAUGUUAUCACGGGAGACACACGGCGGGUGCUAACGUCCGUCGUGAAGAGGGAAACAACCCAGACCGCCAGCUAAGGUCCCAAAGUCAUGGUUAAGUGGGAAACGAUGUGGGAAGGCCCAGACAGCCAGGAUGUUGGCUUAGAAGCAGCCAUCAUUUAAAGAAAGCGUAAUAGCUCACUGGUCGAGUCGGCCUGCGCGGAAGAUGUAACGGGGCUAAACCAUGCACCGAAGCUGCGGCAGCGACACUGUGUGUUGUUGGGUAGGGGAGCGUUCUGUAAGCCUGUGAAGGUGGCCUGUGAGGGUUGCUGGAGGUAUCAGAAGUGCGAAUGCUGACAUAAGUAACGAUAAAGCGGGUGAAAAGCCCGCUCGCCGGAAGACCAAGGGUUCCUGUCCAACGUUAAUCGGGGCAGGGUGAGUCGACCCCUAAGGCGAGGCCGAAAGGCGUAGUCGAUGGGAAACGGGUUAAUAUUCCCGUACUUGGUGUUACUGCGAAGGGGGGACGGAGAAGGCUAUGUUGGCCGGGCGACGGUUGUCCCGGUUUAAGCGUGUAGGUGUGUGUUCCAGGUAAAUCCGGUU